rnacentral:misc_RNA from 1 species
GAUGAAGAACGCAGCGAAAUGCGAUACUUGGUGUGAAUUGCAGAAUCCCGUGAACCAUCGAGUCUUUGAACGCAAGUUGCGCCCGAAGCCACUAGGCCGAGGGCACGCCUGCCUGGGCGUCACACGUCGUUGCCCCCCACCAUCUACUCCUUCGGGAUUGCGGGGGGCGGAUGAUGGCCUCCCGUGCGCCUAGCCGCGCGGUUGGCAUAAAUACCAAGUCCUCGGCGACGCACGCCCCGACAAUCGGUGGUUGCGAAACCUCGGUUGCCCGUCGUGUGCGUUCGUCGCGCAUCGAGGGCUCGAAAAAAUGCUCGGCUCCGGCUCGGCUUUCAACGCGACCCCAGGUCAGGCGGGGUUACCCGCUGAAUUUAAGCAUAUCAAUAAGCGGAGGA